CAUGAUGUCUAGGUAAUUUGCCUAGCCAUGAUCCUGUCACCUUAGGUCGAUCGGUACCUCAAAGUUGAUAUACAAAAUCAAAACUUCUAAACCUAGUUUUAUAUUUUGUAAACAGUUUUCAGUUCCUAAACUUAGUCUAGGUCACACCCAAAAGGGUACUCCUGGGCCAUUAGCUCAGGUGGUUAGAGCGCACCCCUGAUAAGGGUGAGGUCCCUGGUUCAAGUCCAGGAUGGCCCAUUCGGUUUUGGGGGUAUAGCUCAGUUGGUAGAGCGCCUGCUUUGCAAGCAGGAUGUCAGCGGUUCGAGUCCGCUUACCUCCACUGAUCGAACUAACUCUUUCAACCAAUUAAAAAGGAGUUUCUUUAAUGGUGAUGUGACCAAGAUGUUGUUCCUCUGGAUAGAACCUAGCUUCUUAUCAUUCCAAAAUGAAAUAGGCUGAUAAGACGCUGGGCUCACUGAAAUUAUUCAACUAAUUUCAGCGAAGUUCAGUAGAACCUUGACAACUGCAUAGGUGAGUCUGGAAAGAAUAAAGCAUCUCAUGGAUAAAUUAUUCUUUUUAAUCAAUAAUUCUAAGAUAAUUCUUGGAGUUAUUUUUGAUUUUGAAUAAUUUUGAUUCUUGAGUUUAAGAGCCGAGGCUUUUAUAG
rnacentral:tRNA from 1 species